AAAUUCAUUAAACAGAAAAGAUCAGAAAUAUUACACAGCAAAAAUAGCCUCCAAUCGAAUGCAGUCUCUCUACAUAAGAAAUUGCUGUUUACUUUCGAAACAGAAACAUCAUCAAAAACAACCAGGAGUACAAGUGCAACGACAAGUACUGGCAACAAGCUCUCACAGUGCGAUGAAAUAUGAUUUUGUAAUGCAGGUCCAUGUUCAAUGAAAGUGCCACAAAACCAAAUAGAACGGCCAACAGGCUAACAUAUUUCAAUGCUCGAAGGUUUGAUAUCCGUUGGGGCUAUUCCCGGGUUAUUUUUUUAAAGCAGAGCAUUUCUAUGGCCCAAUAGACCCUGCUAAUGGGUAGCGGAUAGCCACUGACCAAAACGAAAGCGAAUAUUCCAACAACUGCUGAAAUUGAAAAGAAAUGAAAGUGUGAACUGCAAGCCAAAUACAUUUUUCCCCUCCCCCAUACGAGUACGUGUACAUAUAUCCUACAGAACAAAGUCCAAUAAGCGGAUUGGUAGG
rnacentral:lncRNA from 1 species